GGCCUCCUGGUACUUACCACAAGUUGUGCUCUUCCACUGACUGUGCAGAAAGAGGAGGCGGAGUAAACCCAUUGUAUAUACCCCACAGCCCAGGCCUUUUGCCUGGUCUGUUUUGUGAAUGGGGGUUGCAGGG